UACAGGGGGGGCAAGCGUUGUUCGGAAUUACUGGGCGUAAAGGGUUCGUAGGCGGCUUGCUUAGUCAGACGUGAAAUCCCUCAGCUCAACUGGGGAACUGCGUCUGAUACUGGCGAGCUUGAGUGCAGGAGAGGAAUGCGGAAUUCCAGGUGUAGCGGUGAAAUGCGUAGAUAUCUGGAGGAACACCGGUGGCGAAGGCGGCAUUCUGGACUAUUUCUGACACUGAUGAACGAAAGCCAGGGGAGCAAACGGG
rnacentral:rRNA from 1 species